CACCCCCUGCUGGGCAUCUAACCUGAAACCCUGGGCAUGUGCCCUGACCAGGAAUUAAACUGGCGACCUCUUAGUGCAUGAGAUGACCCUCAACCAACUGAGCCACACCGGCCAGGGCACCCUUCCUGUAUUUUAAAUUAUCCUUUCCCCCCUAUUCCAGUUAAAACUCAUUUUCUCAGUGCCCCUGAUUAAAGAAAUUUAUCUGGUCUUACCCCAAAGAGGACUGAAGUGUGGUGAUCGUGGGAGGGACAGGCUUGGAAACAGACAGCCUCCGUAGUGCCAGUUGAGUUAGGGUUAAAUGAGCGAGUGCAGUGAAGGUGGUCUUUUCCCUGUGGGUAAUCAACACUCAGUCACUGUGCAGUCACUGUGGAGCUAGUGGCCUUCACACGAAGAGGCAGGAGCUGCUUGUAAAGGUGACUACACCGAAGAAAGAAGGGGCUCUCCUGCUGUUUACCUGUCCUCAGCCAGAAUUCUUCCUUCUCCCAGGUGUGCUAGGAAGGGAUAAGCACCUACAGCCCACUUUUGAAACUCUUUAAAUAGAAAAUAAGUACAUAACACUUUAGAGUAUCAAUUCUUAGAUCAUAAAUAUAAUUUCCCACCUACGUAUUUGAAUUUUUCCUCUUUUAAAAAUGCACCCAUUUCUCCACUGGGAAAUAAUUAAAGCUCUUUCCCCCUAUGUUUUCUAUGUAAUAUUGGGGAAAUUGGCUAUUGGGGAAGGGGAGGAAUAGGCUAUGUCCUCUCCUUUAUAUCCUUACACUUAACCCGAAUAAAUUCUAGAAGGGAUAAGUGGUAAAUGUUACAAAGGAAAAUACAAUCAAAAAAGAAACGGAGGUAAAAACUAACACUGGGAUAUAAAAAGACUUUCUAAAGCUGAAAGCAAUGGAAAAUCAGAGGAAAAGAUUGAUAAUACUUGAUUACAUAAAGAUGUAGAAACAAUUGUAUGUCAAAACAUAAAAUUAAAACAAGAGACACUAUAGAGGAAAAUAUUUGCCACAUAUAGUAGUUAGAAGAUUGCCCUGACUGUAUAAAGAGCUCUACUGAAUAAGAAAAAUACUUAACAUUCCAAUUCCAAAAUGGGCAAAUGUGAACAAAGCCAUAAAGAAAUACAAAUAGGAAAAUGUAUAUAAAACUAAUAUCAAUAUAAAUUAAAACAGUACUAAUUAAACAGUGAUAAAAUAUCAUUUUCACCCCUCUCCAACUUGAAAUUUCAUACUCAAAGCUGAUACGAUGAGAUGGCCGCUAAUGCAUUAGUUACAGGCAUAGAAUCACUGUGGACUUUUUUGUGAAACCUUUUUCCAGUUUGAUCCAGUGAUUCCACUCCUGGUGAUUUAUCCUAAAAAAUGGACAUACACCUUCUGUUAGUCUAUCUGUUAUGUAACAGACCACUCUAAAACUGAGUGGCUUAGUAAAUAGUAUCUUUCAGUUUCUGUGGCUUGGGAGUCCCUGUUCAGCAGGCUGGGUGCCCCUGGCUCAGCUCUCUCUCCCCACCUGUGGUCAAGGUGUUGGCCAGGGCUGCAGUCAUCUGAAGGCAUUACUGCAGGAGAAUUCACCUCCAGGCAGGCCUCAGGGCUUUGCUCCUGUGGGCCGAGGACAGUUCCUCACCUCCCGGGCCUCCCCAUAGAGAUGGAAGUCCUGUUGUCCUAUUUUUUGGAACCUAAUCUUGGAAAUGUCUCAUCGCUUCUGUUGAAGUCUGUUUGCUAGUAGUAAGCCCUGGGUUCAGCCCUUGCUCUAGGGAAAGGAUCACACAUGGGCAAGAAUACUGAGAGAUGGGCUCUGUGGAAUAUUCCAGACACUGCCUCCUAUACUGGUUAGUGUAAUAAGGUUAGUACAAAGGUUUUCAUUAUAGUUUUUUCUUUUUAAUUUACAGUGGCAGAAAAAGAAACAAAAUCACACAGAAUGAAGCACAUCAGGAAGUAAUUUAAAUGUCCCACAGGAAAAUGGUCACAUUGAGCUGCAGCCCCACAGUGGGGUGUAAUCGCAGAACAGUCAUUCUGCCUUUGUUGAGUGUCAGUCGUGUACUAGGCAUUUGCUAGAUAUUUCUGAUCCUAACAGUAACCAUGUAGGGUGGCGGCUUUUAUCACCAUUUUACAGAUGAAAGGGUGGUGCUCAGCGUCAGGGUAUCUGAUGGAGUUCUCAGCACCGUGACCAGAGUGCUGGUUAACUACACUCAUGAAGGGUAAUGACACGAGGGAGACUUUACAAAGUGACACGCAUGCACAUUUUAUGUACAUGUAAGAAGAAAAGACAGUCGCAAAUGUUAUCUUUCAGUGGUAGAAUAGCAAUAUUAAAACAUUUUAAUUUAUUCCACUCAAAAUCUCCAUUCUGCAUGUAUUCUCUGUAUAAGCUGUUUUAAAACUCAGAUCCUUGUAAAGCGUUUUAGCUCCCACUAGCCAGACCGAUGCACACAGUUGUAUGUGAGACUGAAACAUCUCUUGGUAGUGAGUCAUCGGGUUCCCUUUGCUCUGGUCUUGUAGAUGACUGAUCUCUCCUUACCCAACUAUCUGAUGGCGUCCUCAGUCGGGCUGCUUCCUACCCAGCUCCUGAAUUCUUACCUGGGCACUACCUUGCGGACAAUGGAAGAUGUCAUCGCAGAGCAGACUGUUAGUGGAUAUUUAGUUUUUUGUUUACAGAUUAUCAUAAGCAUCGGCCUCAUGUUUUAUGUUGUCCAUCGCGCACAACUGCAGUUGAACGCGGCCAUUGCAGCUUGUGAGAUGGAACUGGAAACCCCGCUGGUGAGGGGCGGUCAGCCAGAUUCCAGCGGCUCCUUGUACAGCAAGCGGACCCCAGCGUUCUCGGGGGACGGAAUCAACGUGGUAUAACUCCAGUGAGGCGCAAGCUUGGCAAGAGCCCCAUGUGCUGUCCCAAGAACGUGGUCCCCUCAUGGGGCGGAGACAAGUCCUGACUGUACUCGGCACAAACAAAACUGACACAUUUUUUAAAUUGCACAGCUUUUCUGGGCGAGGGUCAGUUUCUGGACUGGGAGUGUCCAUGUAGGUGCAGUUUUGGCUGCACUGUGACCACCUCUUAGCCCGUGAAGGCCUGUUGGUCUGCACUUUAGUGUUAUGUUUUCUUUCUGGGUACUUAUAACAGAGAAGCGACCCAAAUAUUUUCUGUCAGUCUUUAUUUAUGAAGCCCCUGAGUAGCUGUGUGCAUCUUCCUACUUACAGAGUAAGAGCACGCAGUUUACAUGUAUGUUACCAGGUGCCCUUUGCUUUGGUAGCCUUUCCAGAAAGGAUACACAGAUUCUGUUUUAUUUUGUUUUAUUGUUUUCAGUGGGACCACUGUUUCUUCCUAGUUAGAGAAAGACGUUGACUUUGGGCUGAAUGUAUUUUGCGAGCACCACAUUGUUGCAGGGCCACUUAGCCCGUUCACGCAAGCUGAAAUUCCGUCAGGGACUGAAGUGCUCUUAGGACACCUUCCGUCUCCACUGUGACGUGCGGAGCUGGAGGAAUUAAUCCGUCACAUCGCUGUGCUCACAGCCCUGUGCUCUUGUAGGUCCGGCUUCGAGGGCUGCCCGCAGCAGUCUUACCCUAGCAUUUCAUAGAAACACAACACACUUCUUUUUAUAUUCAUCAUUAGGCUUUGAAAUAAAGAUGUUUUUCCUUUAAAAUGGUGGGCUUACCAUCAUUGAAGGUGUCACUCAGGUGGCCUUAUUUGAUCAAAACGCCUUUUUAAAAAAACAAGCUUUAAAAUCAUGUUUAUAAUUCCACUGAAGUAUUCAUAUAUUGUCCCUGUUGUCUUCAGCGUCAACACUAUAAAUACGAUGUUAACUUAAUGCCCAACUUUGUAUUGUUCGUUAGUUUUUCAGUUCUUGUUUUUCUGAUAAGACUCAGGAAUUCUGAAAUGUGAACUGUAUUUAUUAGUAGCACUUAGGACAGCAAACAGUGAUUUGGCACAGGAUUCAUGCGACAUGUAUUCAUUUAUCGCCUUAUAUUUUAAUAUAGUUUAAUUGUGAACUUAAAGAUUCAUUUUUUUGUAUGUUUUUUAUAACAGAUUGUAUAUAGGAAUGCAAGUUUUCCAGUAGGUUUCUCAUUUUUGGCAAAAAGAUUCCAGCUUAUCAGAGACUUCCCGUUGGCCUUUUCAUUGGUGAGAGCUUUGCCCUGGGUUGCUGAAGUGAGAAGAUCUCUGGAAGCAGAUUAUCCUCGUCUCAGGCUGAGGCGCAGUGAGUUCAACGUGAGUUUGUUGUGCUGUUCCCGGUAUAACUGUUUUCCCUCCAAAUACGAACGUGUCCUCACCUUUGAGUGGCCGCGAGGUUCACUAAGCCCACACCCGGGAGAACUGCUGCAGACCGUCAGAGUCCACAGCACACAGUCGGCCUCCAAAUCUCCCUUCAUUGGCAGGAAAAAAGUGGCAUAUUCUUAUUUCUUUUUGGAUCCUAAUGCUGGUUUAGUUGCUGGAUUGGUUUUGUAGUGAUUUUACAAUGGACGGUACUUGGAUGUGUUCUGUUCUCUAACUUGACUUUCCUUGUGCUCGUUGGCUGGUUUGUUGAAGGAGUCAUUACGUUAAGAUCAUUGCUCCCAUGUUGUGUUGCACUUAACGUAUUUUGAAGUGGAUUUAUUUACAUAACGUUUUGUAACUUGAAUAAUUUCACCAAAUGAAUACCUUUUGGUAGUUUGUAAUCGGUUCUUCCUACUGUUGCCUGGUACUUUAAGUAAAUAUGUAAAGGUAAACGAGAAGUAAUUUUUCUGUAUUCUGCCAAUCAUUUUAUAUAAUAAAGUCAUCCAUUUUUAUUAAAUUA